UUGGGAAUGUGCUUUAGCAGACU
rnacentral:piRNA from 1 species